rnacentral:lncRNA from 1 species
UUUCAAUGAAGUUAUUUUUUUAUCUCUCCAUUAAAUUUUACUUUACGACAUCAUGUCUAAAGUUGAUAUUUUAUCUUCUCAAAAGUACUUUUUGACAGCAAUGGUUAACACUAUCAAAUUUUUCAAAAAUAUUUUUGAACCUCAGUGAUAAACUAAUUUCACAAAGAGGUACGUGAUUGUAAAUUUAUUUAUUGAAUUUAACUUUUUUUUUUCUUUUUAUGAGUGCUGAAAUUGAAAUUCUUUAUUUAAUUAUUUUGGUUGUAGAAUGGGUGUGCGGUUCCAAUGUCUUUGAAAGAAAGCAUCAAGAGGUAACAGUUGGAAUGUGGUGGAGGAAUUGAGAGCUGAAAAUUCAAGUUACUUGACUGGGG